GGAGUUUGGCCGGCUGCAUGGGACGGGCGGAACGAACUCUGGUAUUGAUUGGUGCUUGCAUCAUGAUUUACAUUUGAGUGAGUGGCGAACUGGUGAGUAACACGUGGGAAACCUGCCCAGAAGCGGGGGAUAACACCUGGAAACAGAUGCUAAUACCGCAUAACAACUUGGACCGCAUGGUCCGAGUUUGAAAGAUGGCUUCGGCUAUCACUUUUGGAUGGUCCCGCGGCGUAUUAGCUAGAUGGUGGGGUAACGGCUCACCAUGGCAAUGAUACGUAGCCGACCUGAGAGGGUAAUCGGCCACAUUGGGACUGAGACACGGCCCAAACUCCUACGGGAGGCAGCAGUAGGGAAUCUUCCACAAUGGACGAAAGUCUGAUGGAGCAACGCCGCGUGAGUGAAGAAGGGUUUCGGCUCGUAAAACUCUGUUGUUAAAGAAGAACAUAUCUGAGAGUAACUGUUCAGGUAUUGACGGUAUUUAACCAGAAAGCCACGGCUAACUACGUGCCAGCAGCCGCGGUAAUACGUAGGUGGCAAGCGUUGUCCGGAUUUAUUGGGCGUAAAGCGAGCGCAGGCGGUUUUUUAAGUCUGAUGUGAAAGCCUUCGGCUCAACCGAAGAAGUGCAUCGGAAACUGGGAAACUUGAGUGCAGAAGAGGACAGUGGAACUCCAUGUGUAGCGGUGAAAUGCGUAGAUAUAUGGAAGAACACCAGUGGCGAAGGCGGCUGUCUGGUCUGUAACUGACGCUGAGGCUCGAAAGUAUGGGUAGCAAACAGGAUUAGAUACCCUGGUAGUCCAUACCGUAAACGAUGAAUGCUAAGUGUUGGAGGGUUUCCGCCCUUCAGUGCUGCAGCUAACGCAUUAAGCAUUCCGCCUGGGGAGUACGGCCGCAAGGCUGAAACUCAAAGGAAUUGACGGGGGCCCGCACAAGCGGUGGAGCAUGUGGUUUAAUUCGAAGCUACGCGAAGAACCUUACCAGGUCUUGACAUACUAUGCAAAUCUAAGAGAUUAGACGUUCCCUUCGGGGACAUGGAUACAGGUGGUGCAUGGUUGUCGUCAGCUCGUGUCGUGAGAUGUUGGGUUAAGUCCCGCAACGAGCGCAACCCUUAUUAUCAGUUGCCAGCAUUAAGUUGGGCACUCUGGUGAGACUGCCGGUGACAAACCGGAGGAAGGUGGGGAUGACGUCAAAUCAUCAUGCCCCUUAUGACCUGGGCUACACACGUGCUACAAUGGAUGGUACAACGAGUUGCGAACUCGCGAGAGUAAGCUAAUCUCUUAAAGCCAUUCUCAGUUCGGAUUGUAGGCUGCAACUCGCCUACAUGAAGUCGGAAUCGCUAGUAAUCGCGGAUCAGCAUGCCGCGGUGAAUACGUUCCCGGGCCUUGUACACACCGCCCGUCACACCAUGAGAGUUUGUAACACCCAAAGUCGGUGGGGUAACCUUGUAGAACCAGCCUGCCGUCGGCCGAGGUUG
rnacentral:rRNA from 1 species